GAUCCUCCGGGAGCUGCGCUUCGCCCGGCUCCUUCCACUGCAACGCUCGGGCUUCUCUAAGCCCUUUGGUGGCUCAACGAUACCCACUGAAUGAGCUACCGCCGCUUAUCCGGUUACCACUCGACAGGCGCUCCCUCGAAUAUUCAUGUCAAGGGCCGUGUUGUUCACUUGCUAAAAAUUCUACUUUGACGACAAUGACCAACGAUAUUUCCCACGUGAAAGGCUGUGGAUUGGCCGACCAGGGGCAGCCGACCUUUGUCAUGGUGACGACCUCCGCAGCCACCCACAGGCACGUUCCCAAGAGUCAACUCCCCUGGGAAGGGGCCCAAACAACCCCACUGAAGGCUAGCUGCCGUUUUACAAAGAGCAUCUGGCGAACCUUCUGGUGAACUGAGCCACAGAUUUGCUGACAAGCACAUCCGUUUGGACCCGGGAACCAGUUACCAGAUGCUAAAGCCCACCCUGGGUUCAGUGAAGUUCCAAAAAGUGGAAAGAAUUCCUUAGCUUGGUGGAAACGCCGGGUUGGGACAUUCCUUUGGCCACUUUAGCUGACAGCUGCAUACCUCUGGGGCUAACGCAUCCUCACUCCGGUCCUCUGCCUCGGAGCUGCCCAGGAGACGGGAGAGGUCUGCCAGCCCCCAUCGGGCCCCUGUGCCCAGCCACGCCUGGCCCAGCCCAAGGCUGCGCCCUGGGGGAAAAUGCAGCCCCGGGACCGAGGCUGAGACUGGGACCGCAGCAUCCCUCCAACUCUUCUCACGUUGGCAGCUGAGCAGGUAACGGCCUACUUAGGAGGGCUGGCUGGUCGGUUACCACCACGUCCAGGGAAAUGGGGGAAACUUUUACCCUGUAAAAUGAGACGGUAGUCAGUGUGACACAGUGCAGUGACCUCCAAGGGCCAUUCUUGCAAGCCGGGACACCCUCCCUGUAGGAAAUGGAAAAGCUGACCCGGCCUUUUCUGCUAGGAUCCUCAUGGUCUUGGCCAUUUUCCUGCAACAGCUUGUAUUUAAUUCCUUGUUUUAUUUGGCAAAGAGCAAAUGAGGAAAACAAGGGUAUUAAUAAUGAUGAUCGACAUUUGAACUUCCUGGGUACAACAUGUUCUUGUACCCAAGUGGUGAAUAGAAUUUUUUAAAAAGAUUACUUGCGUGUUAUUUGCCACCAACUUAAAUCAUGCAGUUUCCUUUGUCCCAGAAAACCCAUUUCUGUCCCUGUGGCAUUUGAAUGGACUCUUCCUUCCUUCUCUAAUUCUGGCCUUGCGGAGGUUGGAUGUCGUCAAAGGACUUGAUUUCUGCCUCCUGCCGCGCCCGCCCCAGAGCUGGGGCGCGCCAGUGGGAGACACAGCAGCGGGCAAGGGAAGCGACCCGACGGUGACCUGUGUUCCGUCAGCGAAAGGCUCCUGCUCUUCGGCAACUCAAAUGCCACGAAUCCGGUCGUCUCUCCGGCUUCGUGGUAACCCCCAACUGCCGUGGUCUUGAAUAGUGACAUUCAGCUCUCAGUCUGGCGGCCACUGAUGGCCCCCUGUCCCCAUCCGCCCUUCAUCAGGAAGGUGGGGUGUCCACAGGAGCCAGGGUGCUGGGAGGACAGGACUCCCUGGAGAAGUGUCCCACGGGUGCUACCACGUAUGGGCUGUGAGCUCUGGAAUCAAAUUCUCGGGCGUCUCAAAGUUCACUGGAGCAUGAAAGGCCAAAGCAGCCCCAUUUGCUGUUGUGGCACCAUUUGCCCAGCAGGCCUGUGACCUGGUUAAAUGUGACUGACACUUUACUCUCCUGAGCUUGUGUCCCCAGGACUGGAAGUGACGGGAAGCAGGAACAGAACCGAUGACUCCCUACAGCCACAGGCGGAAGAUAACAUCGGAGCAAACUGCAGCCUCCGUUCCCGCGCCCCACCAGCCAGGGGCCACACAGCCGCGACCCCACCCUUUGUAAAUCCCAUUUAACCCACUAGAAGCCCAAAGCCCCCACCCCUCAGUGCCUGCGUCUCUCCCUGCGUGGAGCCCCCGUCCCUUCUGUGAGAGGGAAUAAAAACUAUACUCUCCUCGCU